rfam:Nicotiana attenuata strain TT chromosome 11, whole genome shotgun sequence.
UGGACAUAUUAUUGUAUUCGACUGUAUUCACGGCGUGAAACAGGGGAUUACACUGUUUUUAAACGGAAAGUGAAUCAAUUAACAUAAUAGACUCCU